rnacentral:rRNA from 1 species
AUUGAACGCUGGCGGCAGGCCUAACACAUGCAAGUCGAACGAGUGGCGGAAGGGUGAGUAAUGUCUGGGAAACUGCCCGAUGGAGGGGGAUAACUACUGGAAACGGUAGCUAAUACCGCAUACCAUCGGAUGUGCCCAGAGGGGAUUAGCUAGUAGGUGGGGUAAUGGAUCACCUAGGCGACGAUCCCUAGCUGGUCUGAGAGGAUGACCAGCCAUACUGGAACUGAGAAGCGGUCCAGACUCCUACGGGAGGCAGCAGUGGGGAAGAUUGCACAAUGGGCGCAAGCCUGAUGCAGCCAUGCCGCGUGUAUGACGAAGGCCUUCGGGUUGUAAAGUACUUUCAGCGAGGAGGCGUUACUCGCAGAAGAAGCACCGGCUAACUCCGUGCCAGCCGCCGCGGUAAUAC